rnacentral:lncRNA from 1 species
CCCUGAGAGAGCAGGAUGGUGCUUCUGCUCCCACAGAGGAUUCUUUUUGUCUCCUUACUCUGGAGAAAGCCCACGAGGCUGAAUCUUACACAACACAUUUGACAAAUGAGGCUGUGGUGAGAUUGUGGCUUUAGUGAACAGAUGCGGUGACACAGGGUGGGAAAGUCCCCAGAACUCCCACCAAGAGGAAAAGGGAUGGAAUUUACCAGCGACCAAGCUGAAGGAGGAGGAUGGAACGGUUCCCUGGGUCAAAGGCAGAAGCAGAGGAAUGCCACUGCAGGGUGUAAAUCAAAAGGAGGAGAAACAAUCAUUUGCUCUCAUCGAAGUGGGAAGUGGAAGAACGUGAAUGCAGGAAGCAAACAAAGUUGGUAACACCUCUUGGCAGUGAGGUGUGCUUGUUCUGAAAAUGAACACUUUCUGAAGGAUGUGGAGCUGCUGUGCAUCUCAUGGCAAGCAAUCCCUGACAAAGCAGAAGUAAGGGGGGGCCGCAGUGGGCCCUUCUCUCUCUUUCACUUUCGCACAAACAUAUGUAGUUCUUUUUCUUGGAAAUGUGGGAAAGGAUUACAAAUACAGAGCCGUUUUAAAUGAAUGAAUUCAUCUAGGGAGUGCUAUGGCUAAUGUUACACAGGAAUUCAGUCUGAAUGUGGGAUUAAACUCACCUAAUUUUAAAGCUGUCUAGUAUUUAGGUAUUUUUGAGCUGUAUAGCUAUCUGUUUAGACACUGGAGAAAGAUGUGUAUCUCUGAGGAGUAUUUAUCCUAGCCUGUAUCAGAGGUGGGGGGUAUUCCAGAUUGUCAGUGCCUUCUUUUCUUCCUUAACUGAAGCUGCUUGAUAUAGGAACCUAACUUAUAAUUGGCUGAAACUGUUGAUGAACCUCAUGUAGAUGUGAUGAGCCUCAGUGUAGAUAAGAAUGAGUCCUUCCAGCCUUCACCAUCUGAUUUAUUACAUAAACAUUCUCCUGCAUCACAUGUAGGAAGAUAGAAAAGUUGUUUUCCCAGUGCAAGCAACAAUAAGCAGUACUUCACAAGACUGCAGAGGACCCCAAGGCCUUUGUGCUGUAUUGUGAACAAAAGAAUUACCAAUGCAGACCAUUUUCUUCUUCCCUUUUCAACUAACAGAAGAAGAAACAGAUUUCCAGGAAUUAUGCUUUUUUAAGGCACAUUUCAGCAAUAUUUUGGGGAUGAUGCAGCCUUUUAUUAAAAAAACAAAAAAACAAAAAACAAAAAACAAAAAAAACCAACAAGAUUUUAAAGGCAGCUUGCAUACAUAAAGUUCUAACUGAAACUAACUUUUGUAUCUCUUCUUAUGCAUUAGGCACUUCUGGAUACAUUUCCUCUGUAGAAAUAUUCCUUGUAUUAACAGUGAGGAUCACCACGGAGUCUGAUGCCUAUUAGUUUUUUUAAUGUAGUGUAGCUAGAUAGAAACUUAUUCAUGGGUCUAAAAUGCUGUUCAGGAAAGGGCAGAGACAGGCACCCCCGGGUUGCACAUGCUGGUUCCAAAGUCACAGACAUUCAGUGAAGAAAAGGCUCCGGUAGGAAGACGCUAAGGCUUCAAGAAUGCAGGUGGGAUGAGUCAGUUGCCACUUUGGGGCUGGAAAUCACAACUGCUGCUUUGCUGUCCAUGGAGCACUGCUGCGGUGAGUGGGACAGUUCUGUCCAAUGGCUAUUCUUCAGAUUUGGGUGUUGAAUCAGCAGCAUACUGAUGCAGGUGCCAAGAUUUGAAUCUAAUGAGUAAUCCAAGGAGUUCCCUUGAAGAUAUCACAGGAACAACUCACUUAUUACAAACUGGGCAUGUUCUUCAGAAAGGGGUUGAAAUCCCUCAUUUGGGGAGCAUGAUGAGGUCAUCGGGUACUAGCAUAUUUCAAAUGCAGUUUUAUAUUUGCCUCUUGUAUUUUAGCUGUUUAUGAUCUACAUCAGAGCGCUCCUUUCUACGUCUUUUCUAUGUGGAUGCCCUUCCAUGUUUCUUCUCGAGACGUUUUUUGUUUAUAUUAUGUAUUUUUGGAGGGCUGGUGAUUCAAUCUGUUUGAGGUCAGGGAGUGACACUGUGUACACAAUGCAUUUUAGCACUUUCAGUCAUUUUUUUUCUAGCCUUUUCCUAAUAGAGUGAUGUAGUCUCUGUUGGCCACUAAGUCCUUGAGGCUACAAAGUAAUUUGGCACAAGUCUCAGGGAAUAACUCCGAAUUUCCCUUUGGAGGUGUUCUUUUCUCAGCACACUUCAUUUCUGUCUCACUGAGAAGCCAGUUUGUUUUCACUGAGAUCUGCAAAACUUUUUACAGUUUCCUCAGGGAGUUAAAUACAUAAUACACAGAAAAAUAUGAGUAUAGCUGGGACAGAAGGUGGCAUGCAACAACGCCAUUCAAAUAUUCCUGGUGUGCAAGGAAUGAUGCUCUGUCAAUCUCAGACCACAAAAGGGGUUCAGAAACAAGAAUGCAGUUUCUCUGCAGUAAUCCAGCCAGAAAACCAAGAGUAAUGGACUUUUCCCUUCCAAAUGCAAGCUGGAAUCCUCCACCAUUGUAGGCUGAUGUGGUCUUUGCUGAAGCCCUUCGUCUUCAGGGUGCCAUCAGACAGUGUAAAGGUGUUUGGUUCCUAGCACUUAAUGAAAAAAUAAAGAUUAAGGGUUAUUUUAUCAUGUUCCCUGCUCCCUAAAGCACCUGUAGUUGUUUGACGGUCUCCAUUUCUGGUUAGCCAAAGGAAUUAAAGAAGAUUGAUUAUUCCAGUGGGAUAUUAGAACACUUUUAGGCCCCACACAUGGAAGAAUUGCCCUGUGAUUUUCUCUUUAUGCAGAGGUAGAUGCCCUAAGCUCACACUUGGAAUCAUACUGGGAAAAGGAGGCUCCUAAUUAUCUCUCAUUUGAAGACAGUCAAGCUUCAAAUAAGUCCAUUGCUCUGUGCAGGGCUGAGCAAAACUCUGGAGGUACGAAGUAGCCUUUUUCCACCGCUUAGUCUGUGCUCUGACUCAGGCAUAUUAAGUGGUGGUGCCUCUGAGGAGUUGUGAUGAGGUAUCAUCAGGGCCAGAAGAUACUGACGCAGAAUGUUCUGAAUGCAAUCAAUAUGAAUGACUUAAGACAAAAAGCAUCAUUCACACCCACACACAUCCAAUUGGCAAAGCCUGCCAAUACCCACAGAACAGCCCAUAUAGUUGAAUUGUUUCUCAACCACUGAAAGCAUACGAGGAAGAAAAGAAUCUCACUUUUUCUUCUAGCAUAAAAACACGUGAAUUUUUAGAGGCUCUAUUAGUAUUCUGAACAUAUGGCAACUACUUGCACUGCCUGGGGAAGUUUUUGGCUUUCCAAUAAAAAACUGUUAAACCAGUAAUGGGGGACUGGGUGUAUCAAGUGUUUAUGAGUCUCCCAUCUGUACGCCAGACAGGAACAUCUCAUAUUGACUGUUUUGUAGUAUUGUCAACCCAUCUGCAGAACUGUCUAGUUGACCCCAGGUAUGUGAUGGACUUGGCAAGAAGCAAGAAAGAAACAGUGAUAGCUGGGGAAGGGAGAGAGGUGAAGAAAGGAAGAUGGGUAGAAAAAGAAAAAAAUAUAUAAGGUGAGGAAUGCAAAUAAGCCUAUUCAAAUAUCAUAGAACUGACAUCAUUACAUUUCUUCACUCAAGUCCUUCACUCUCAAACUGAUACACUAAUUAGAGAGGUGCAUUUUACAACUCCCUCGGCCUACUGAAUUAGAAUCAGUUUUUUAGUUGGUCUGAUCAAGCUGGGAGGAAGACUCCAAACACACGUUUGCAGGGGAAAGUGUUAGUGUAUGGUGUGUUGCUCACUGGAAAGACCCAGGUUUUACUGGUGAAGCGGGUUGAGAGGAAAUACACUGUAAAGUCAGUCUUGUUUUUGUUUUAUUUAUUUCCCUUUUAUUUGGCUCUGGGCAGCGUUAAACUUCCCACCCUUUGCAGUGCUGUCAGCCUGAACCAUACAGACAUCUGGUGUGCAAAUAAAUUGUAGUCCAGGCAAAUUGUAUCUUGUAGUUAAGCAUGUCCAUCUCUCCAUCUUGCUUUCUUGCUUUCUUGUUUGCUUCUUCUCUGCUGUCUCCAGCACCUGUCUUUGUAAUAAAUUACUGGUCCAGUUGCCUUCGAUUCAUCCUAGAGAGCAAGAACUGGAAGGUUACAGUGUGAUGACACCCCCACGGCUAACAGCUAGACUCAUAAAGCACACUUUCAUUAAAGCAUUUCACUUUUUACGAUGCAAACCGAUCCAUCACAGCCAGCCAUGGGGUCUUAAGUACAUUUUCAUUUCUACUAAAAAGGCGCUGACCGUGACAGUAUACGGUCAACGUAUUCUCAAAAUGCUUCAUGAUCUUUAAGUGGCAGGGAUGUUUACAACAGCUCAUGAAAUCACUGACAGCUGUAAGUACCACACAAGCCUUCACUCUCUUCUGAUUACCGAAACAAUGAUUCUGUGCCUGAAAGACAUUUAGUUCCAAAAGGUUUUAAUUAGCCUGGACAGAAUGAGCUUGAAGUUAUACAGUUGGAGGACAGUUCUAAGUGCCCUUUCAGAUUUCACCUUCUUUCACACUUUAUUCACGUGACACAAGCUCUAUUGAAAAGAUCAGUCUUGUGGGUGACCAGACGCUUCCAUUCAUUUACCUGUAGGUCCAUUGCCAACACCUACAAACACCUGUUAAUGGCCAUUUCUGGGGAAAAAAGAAUCACUUGUAACCAUUGUCUCAUCUGGUCUUCCCCAUCUUAUUCCUUAAAAACGUUUUCCAAACCUCACGUUUUCCAUAGAAUAGAUUUUUUCUCUUUGAACCGGAGGAGGAGGAGAAAUGUAUCACAUUUAAAACAAAUGUUAUUAACAGAGUUCACUUAACCUCAUUGUUUCUCGUGAAAUCCAUUCGUAAGCCAAUACGAGAUUGCCCUUAAAGUGCAUAAACAAAAAGAAAGGGAACAGAUGAAUGUACUCUGAGAUACUGACUAACAGGAAAAAUGAAACAUAAUGAUCACAUAUCUCAGAAACCUAACGAGUGCUCAGAUUGCCUUCCAUAUUAUAAAGAAAGAAGGAGUUAAGAAUGAAUUUCAAGGAAGUUAAAACAUGGUUAUUUAGUAGAUGCUCACAAGGGGCUCCUGUGAAGGACAGGGGGACAAAAUAUGAAUGGAACUGUCUGCAAAUGAAAAAAAAAUAAGGGCUAUGGAACCAUAAGAACACUCUACCUGCUUUCCAAACACGUUUGGUGUUGUCUGUGUGCUGGUAUGGGUUUUAGCUAAGAUACUUCUUUGCAGAAGAAAUUCCAGAUGGAAAAGUUUUAUAUAGAAGCUGGUUGUCUUCCUUAAUUUGUUUUUCAACUUUUUUUCCUUUGUUUUGUUUUAUUAAUUUGAAGCCAUGGUUGCUGUCAGGCUUACUGCUGGCCCUCACUCAUGCCCAAUGCAUCAUAGCAGUCUUGGCUUGGUUAUGCAUUCCAGCAGAGCUGGGGAAUGGUGAGAGCUGGGUGGUGUGUGCAGGGUAACCAAGAGAAAUAUGGAUUCUUAUCGACCUUCCAGAUCUUCAAAGUACUGCAUGAACUGAGGUUGGUGCUGGUGAUUGGUUUGGGAGCAACUCUGAGUCACUGCUAGCAGAGUUCCUGGCUGGAACCAAGGAAAGUUGGUGAAAUGUGUGUGUUAGGAACUGAUUAUUAAUGGAAGAACAGAUGGUAUCUAAUCCAAAGAGGGUAAGCAAGACUUGCCCUGAUCUGCCUUUGCUUCAAAACUGCCACUUUUAUUGAUUGUAACAGCAGAGGAGCUAACGUUUGGUCACGGAGAGUGAACUCUAUUUGCUCUUUUUUUUUUCUUUUUUCUUUUUUUUUCCUGAUGUUCCAAGUUAAGGCCUUGUUGCCAGUGGGUGGAGUGGUGAGAUCUACAUUGCAUCUACUAUGGCUAAGGAGAAGACCAGCAUUUCCAGGACUGUCAACUGAACCUCCUUCACACUACAGACACAACUUUAUAAAUACAAAAAGAAAAAGAAAAAAUUGAACUGUGAUCUUUCUGGAAUGGAGAUGUAUCCAAAAGAACUGUGCUUUGGGUUGUACAGCCUUCCCAAGGAGUCAGAACAAAUAUCCAGACUUCAACACGAGACCAAGCAGAGUUGCUCAGUCCCUGUGGAGAUGAGAUAUAGAACUGGAGAAUAUAAACAGAUGUGGAGACAUUUUGAUGCAUUUCUGAAAAAACAAAUGACAUUUUGCUGCUAUAUUUUAGAGUUCAGUCCAGCCCCCUUAUCAAGAAUAUGAUGCAAAAAACAAUAGUCACUUCAUUUUCAUUUCUCAGUCUGUCUGGAGAGCAAAAGGCACAGUCAUCUAGUAGAUGAGGUAACAUCAGAGCCUAACAACUGUUGAGAAAGUCUUGUAGAGUUUAAAAUGCUGAAGAAAAAGGGAAGAAUCAUUAAGAAACUAUAAAUCUGAAGGAAAUCAAUAUGAUAGUCUAAGAUCUUGAAAUAGCAUAGCAUGUAUUUUUAUUUAUUAUUGCAGGCAGGUUGAUUAGUACCUGAGGGAGAUUCUCAGAAUCACAAAGCAUGGGCUGGAAGGGACCGCUGGAGAUCAUCUACAAGCCAGCACAAUGCAUCUAACCCAAUACAGACUAAAAGAUUCCACAGAAACAAGGAACUAUAGGGUACUGGAGCAGAAAUGCUAAGUCACAGCUUGAACCAGUGAUUGAGCACCUGGUGGGAAGGCAGGGCCAACCCAGGGGAGCUCAGGUGCAUGCAAUGAGGAUCUGCCCGAUCCUGGCUCCACCCCUUCCCAGACCUCAUUUAAGGACUGGCAGUAGGGGCAAGAGCAUCUCACUGGAGAUCCCUGCCUAGUAGAGGCCUUCUAAAGGUAAGCAGUUUUUCUUCCUUUGUUUCUGCAUCCAUGGUUGCUGCAUUUGGGCUUGCUCUCAUUUGCUGCAGCCUAGGAUUGUGCUGCUCUGCUAUUAUUGCUAUGCUUUCCAUUACAUUGCAGAUACAAAAGGUUAAACUCCAUCUUCCUAGUCUUGUCCCCCUUCUUCUGUACGGGAGAGCCAUCCUGUGAAAGAAGUAAGACUGCAGCAGUGAAAGUUUAGGGUAUUUUCUACAUCUCUGGAGCUGACUUCUGCGGGCAGAUGAAGGACGUGCAGACAGCGAGAGUGUCUGUAGCUCACGGUUUUGAAAUGGCAAGGCAUGCUGUUCAAGGAUAUCUUUACCAAUUUUAACUAACCAGCGUGGCCUGCUCAGGCCAGUAUUAUGGACAGCAACAAACAAGAGGACACUUUGUCUCAUCAGUCUCAUGGAUAUAACUUUCUGCUUACAGCUGUAUUUGGCUAAGACCUGUACGUGGUUAUGGACUUUGACUCAGUGGCUGGGCUUGGAUGGGAGCCUUCUGGCUUACAAUCCUAUGCUCCAACCAUCUAAUCUCUCAGCCCAAAGGAAACUAUGGUGUCCCUGUGGACUCUUAGUAAGACACCACAGCUUUGUUGAGUGCUUAGCUUUUGAUGGGGGUAUUUGAAGGCUUCACAGAUGGCAUUCAGUGACUCUGUUCCCCCUUUCUACCUGGAGGCUGCCAAAGGAUGGCAGCAAAGAGACAGAUGUUAGAGGGAUGUCAGGGUGUGAAUAAAGGGGCACGUGCAACAGGAAAAGCGCUGCAAUAGCUGUUGCUGUGAAGGAAAAGCAUUCCAUACUGGAAAGCCAGCUAUAUGGAAUGCAGUCUUUUCUGCAGUUUGGUGCUGAUAAAAAUGCUGCACUGGCAUUUCUGCAAUAUGAUACUCCAAAGCAAGAAUAUGGUUUGUUAUUACAUCUGUGGCCAGCAGGACUUCGUGGUGGUGGAGGAGACAUCCUCAGCUAUGGCUGAAUGUUUAGUUUCCAUGCCCCUUCUGUCCUAGGAUGGCAGUCAGCAAUAAUUACUUCAGUGGUUUCUACCCUACAAUUCUUAGCCUCUAAGGACUAUACACGGAUCCAGAAACUCGUUCCAUGCAAGCCCUUUCUAACAGGAUGAUGACUUCUAGUUUCUGCUGGACUUGAUCUAGAUUCGCAUGGGAAAGCUAGAGAAGAAAUGACAGUUUGCUGGAGCAGCCUGUGCCAGGCCAGAUUUCUGUAACGAGCCAUCUGCAUUUGGAAACAACCCUGAGCUGACAGAGAAAGAAACAUAAUAAUCAAUCUGAGGCAUAUGAUGUAAUAAUCUACCAGCCACAAGAUCUAGAUAGGAGAGGAAAAUUGAUCAGUAAUGACAACUGUUAUUUACAGGAGUGUUAAGACUACCACCUGGAACGCCAGAAGAUGGGCAGUGUCCUUUAAUUCUGUUGCAAAUUUCUGACACCUAAGCAUGCUUUUCUGCAGGACAAGAGAAGGGGCAAUUGCACUUAUUUGUCUUGUUUAACAGAACUCCUGUUUCUGACAUAAUCUUUACACUUGCUUCUCUAGUUAAGUCUCUUUUUUUUUCUUCUUCUUUUCUUUCCCUGGUGUUUGCAUGAACUCGGUGAACCCUCAUCACGUGUGGCAGUGUUUAUAUUUGCACAGGCUGUUCUGUGUGUCUCUGUUUGUGUUGCCACCACAUCUACAUGGUUUGGCAGCAGCCCCACGGCUGUGUUUCAGCUGCAUAUAAAUCAGCUUCGCUCCAUCCCCCUGUGUUUCCAUCUGUCUGUCUUCCUUGAUUGCUCUGAAAUGUUACAGGGCAUGGAGGUUAGCCCAUGGCUGAACCCUUCAGAGAGAAAUGGUGCAAAACCAAACCUGAGUUUCUCCUCCUCAAAUCUAACUCCACAACCUUUGGAGGUGUGGGGUGUUAAUGUUUUUGCAGUGACAAACCUCAAAGCGGGGACUAACCUUUGCUUCUGUAGUUUUCAGGUCUGUUUCUCCCAAAACACUUGUAUAGAAGCUCUAAGGUCACCUCUGUGUUGUGGAGCUAAUCCUUCCUUAGCUUUUCAUUAUGUGAAGAUCUCCCUUUACUCGCACAAAUUUAACUUCUGCUCUGUCAUUAAUUAUUACCUCCAAUUUGAUUGCUUCACAUCUCAUUAGUUCAUUUAUUUCUCUGGAGAAGGAGGUGUGAAAUGGGAAUGACUGGAAGCAUGGGGAACUGCAGGCACGUGAUCAGAGAAUGGGAUGUUAGGCAGAAAUCACAGACCUUGAUACUCUCCUUGCACAGAGAUGUUUCUCUAGGAGUCUCCUCCCAGACUGAGUUCAUAAUGGGGUUAAUCACAUAUGAGUUUGAUUGAAUUGCUGUGAGCCCUGGAGAUAAACUUCUAGCUCAGAGUGUUUGUGCGAUUUACUCUUGGCCAUGUCUCUUCUCUUGCAGAAUAGAUGCCCCAGGGGAACAGAAGAUCGAGCAUGCUGCCCUUUGGCCAUUGGCACUAAUUUGCCAAUUCAGUAGAGAUGACAAAAGACGAAGUGGGGAGUCCACGCCCAUCUCAGGUAAAAGAAUUGCCUGUUUCAAGAAAACUGGGAAACACUGAUAGGACAAAAUAAAUGGGAGAAGAACAAGACUCCUAUGUCAUCUUGUGGACUUCAGACACAGCGACAGAUCAAACGUAGUUAUGCCUGUUAACUCCACGAGAAUAAGACAUAGCUGCAGUAUGGAGCUGAGUCAGUUUGGAUUCAGCAUUUAAAGAAAGAAUGGAAGAGAAGCAACCAGGUGUCAAAAGAUGUCCAAGCAUUAUCUGGCCAGAGUGCAUUGCCAAUCCACCAUGCCAGCCAUCCCACCAGAGGCAUCUUGAUGUCAGCAUUGAUGUGACCCAGAAAUGAGGGGAGAGUGACGGGAAUUCACUGUGCUGGGGAAUUCAGUGCUGCAGAUAGUGAAACACCUUCCAAACCAGAAGAGGUUGCUCUGUGUUCCAAUAUUACUGAUGGUAAAGGAAAUGUUGUGUGAAAUGUUCUGGUCAGCCAAGGAAGUGGACCAUGCAGCAUGGGAUGGCAGCCCCUUCGUGAUCCCCGAGGCUUUGGUGCUGGGAUCAGCACAAGGAAGGACGCCAGAGGAAAAAGUCAGGUUCAGGUUGGAAACGUAUUGCUCAGAGGAAGCAGAUGGAAGAAGAGGUGUCUCUGACUUUGAAUCAGCUUCUGUAUGAUCAUGGCUUAAUGAUCAUAAAUCCUCUGGGGCCUGCAACCUAACAAGGGAAUAAAGGAGGAAGCGCCGUCUCUCUCAGAUCAAAGUAAAGAGAAAAGCUGAGAUGUAAAGGAGACGAAAUGAGCUACAGGGUAUGUGAAAAUCAGAGCUCCCAUACAGCUUGCUGGAGACUGCCAAAAUAGGGUUCUCCACAGCCAUCCCCUACCUAUGCAAUAUAGUGAUGGGAGCGUUUUUAGAUAAGAUCAGACCCAGAGAGAACAUGCCUGGCUCUGUUUCUUCCAGCGGAACAAUAUGGAAACCCACUGCUGGGAAACCGUUUUUCCGAGCCAGAGAGGAGGCAGGGAAUUGUUCUGUGCAACCAUUCAGGAGCCUCCGCUCCCACGCAUUCUCCCGCUUGCUGACACCCUGCCAGGACCGCAAAGGAGGAAUUGAUUUACAUGCAGUAAGUCAACUAAAUAAAUAGAUAAAUAAAGCCCUUCCUACCUUGCUCAGCUAAAGAAAGGGAGGGACUAAGAUGAAAUUCAGUGGGAAGUCCUCUGCAGGUGUGCUGCUGCUGCUGCCCGGAGCUGGGCACUGGGUGCUGACAGCACUGGUAAACGUGAUAUUUAUUCCCUGGGAGGGAAUUUUGGACUGCUCUUCGUAAGGCUUGUCACUUACUGUCUUCUGUUCUUGCUACUGAACUCGGUGCUGUGUGAGAUCCCUGAGCUCAGACAGCUUUUGGUGGCUUCAGCAAGUGAGUCCCAAUUGUUUUAGUUCUUAUUUCGAUGAGCUAGUUCCUAAAAGCCCAGAUUCACUGCAGAAAGAUACCCCUUUGGGCUGAAACACUUCUCCUUUUGGGGACAGUGUCAAAUUGCUUGAAGAAAGAGCAUACAGAAGAGGGUUAUAGCAGUAUCCAUCCUCAAACUGGAUCCCAUCCUCUCCUAACUCCCAUUAAUUUGCUCCUUCCUGAGAAGUCUGCCCUGUAGACCGCUGUGCUUAAUAGGUGCCCUCCUCUGUGAUUUUCCUCCCCCUUUCCUACUUCUGCUCGUUUCAGCGUUCAUUGACAAAGGGGAGGUGGGGGUAGUGUGAAGAAAUACCACUGCACUUUGAAGCUUGCUCCUUUGAGCCAGCCUGUCCCUGUCUGGGAGCAGGUAGCCCACAACCGUGCACCAUUCCUUCCUACUUUGUCAUGCCCUCAGCUGCCCACACAGCUGCAGAAAUGCAGGGAAUAGGUUUGUAGGCCAUGAUGUGUUCUCGUGAAUUAUCUCCCAAUAAAACAGAGAUCUGGUGAUGGAGAUAGCGCUGCUGGGAGCUAAAAUGUGAGUCUGUGCCUGAAACUACCCUUGGGUUUCAUGGGGGCAUUCAACUCCCACUCUAUUUAAAUGCAAAUGACCUUUUCCUUCGCACUCCACUACUACCAGAACCGGGUCAGCCAAGAGAAUAGUUGUUUCACUUUGUUAUAAAAAUUGCUCAACUGACAUUCUCAUGGAGCUAAAGUUCUACUUCUCCUGCUAACAGACUGCCACAGCAGAUGAGAUGGGGGGGACAGAGUGAAGUUCAGGAAAUUUUCAUGUACCAGGUAGUUCAGUUUAAGGCAACAAUCAAUAGCAAAUUACAGCUGGAAUAGAGAGGAGGGUAGCUCUACUUGCUUGAAUACCUGUGAUGGGGGCCUACCUCCCGAAAAGGAGGCAGAAAUGUCCUUUACUGCCAGCAUUUUCCUGCCUUUUCCCAGAGCAGCAGGCGUGCUGCUCUUUAAUCCCAGCAAAGGAUAGGAGCCAGCCCCAGGAUACCUUGCACCCAGAAAUUGACUCGAGCAAAUAUAUAUGUGUGUGUGUGUGUGUACAUACACAAGAGCUAUAGAUAAAAUGUAUGGAUUCAACACAUACAGCUUCCCUGUACUGCUCUUUGUUUCACACUAUUAACCCUGUCCCCUCUCUCCUUGCUCACAUCUCUUCUCUGCCUUGCCCAAAAGCCCAUUGCUCUUUGCUCAAACUGACGGGAAAGCUGACGUGGAGAAGUUAACCAGGAACAAGUGUUUCCCACCUGUGUGCAGCUGAACAUGGUGCACUUUGGUUUCAGUUCUGACGAAGUGCCGGUGAGCCUGACAGUGCAUCUGUUUUUCUAACUCUCUUGGUUAGUCCGAGGAGAGAUAUUCUCUCUCUUUGAAAACCCCCACUUCUAAUAAAAAUAAUUCAUUCC